CUACGGGACGCUGCAGUGGGGAAUAUUGCACAAUGGAGGAAACUCUGAUGCAGCAACGCCGCGUGGAGGAUGACACUUUUCGGAGCGUAAACUCCUUUUAUAUAGGAAGAUAAUGACGGUACUAUAUGAAUAAGCACCGGCUAACUCUGUGCCAGCAGCCGCGGUAAUACGGAGUGGUGCAAGCGUUACUCGGAAUCACUGGGCGUAAAGAGCGUGUAGGCGGGUUAAUAAGUCAGAAGUGAAAUCCUAUGGCUCAACCAUAGAACUGCUUUUGAAACUGUUAACCUAGAGUGUGGGAGAGGUAGAUGGAAUUUCUGGUGUAGGGGUAAAAUCCGUAGAGAUCAGAAGGAAUACCGAUUGCGAAGGCGAUCUACUGGAACAUAACUGACGCUGAGACGCGAAAGCGUGGGGAGCAAACAGGAUUAGAUACCCUCGUAGUC
rnacentral:rRNA from 1 species